UACGUAGGGACCAAGCGUUGUUCGGAUUUACUGGGCGUAAAGGGCGCGUAGGCGGCAAUUCAAGUCAGCUGUGAAAUCUCCGGGCUUAACUCGGAACGGUCAAGUGAUACUGUCGGACUAGAGUACAGAAGGGGCAACUGGAAUUCUCGGUGUAGCGGUGAAAUGCGUAGAUAUCGAGAGGAACACCUGCGGCGAAGGCGGGUUGCUGGGCUGAUACUGACGCUGAGGCGCGAAAGCCCAGGGGAGCGAACGGG
rnacentral:rRNA from 1 species